UUACCCCUCGUACCUUUUGCAUCAUGAUUUAGCUAGCAACAUUAAGCGAAGAGCACUUUAGUUUAAUACCCCGAAACUAGCGUGAGCUACUCCAAGACAGCCUAUUAUAGGGCAAACCCGUCUCUGUGGCAAAAGAGUGGGAAGAGCUUUGAGUAGAAGUGACAGACCUAUCGAACCUAGUUAUAGCUGGUUGCCUGUGAAAUGAAUAGAAGUUCAGCCUCCCAGCUUCUCUCUAAACUGUGAGAGUUAGUCAAAGGAGGAACAGCUCCUUUGAAACAAGAUACAACUUUUUUAAUUGGGUAAAGAUCAUAUUAUUUAAAGUAAAAAAUCUCAGUGGGCCUGAAAGCAGCCACCCAAAAGAAAGCGUUAAAGCUCAGAUACUAUUUAGAUAAACCAAUCUUAACCCCUUAGCCUUUAACAGGCCGUUCCAUACUAUUAUGGAAGUGAUUAUGCUAAAAUGAGUAAUAAGAGAGGGCUCUCUCCUGGCACAAGUGUAAACCGGAAAGGACUUCCCGCCGGAAAUUAACGUCCCCAAAAAAAGAGGGAAUUGAGUACUUACAAGAAGACUACUCACCGUUAACCCUACACAGGAGUGCUCUUUUAAGGAAAGACUAAAAGAAGGAGAAGGAACUCGGCAAAAGCCUCGCCUGUUUACCAAAAACAUCGCCUCUUGCAAGAAUAAGAGGUCCCACCUGCCCGGUGACACCAAUUUAACGGCCGCGGUAUCCUGACCGUGCGAAGGUAGCGUAAUCAUUUGUCUUUUAAAUGGGGACUUGUAUGAAUGGUAUAACGAGGGCUUAACUGUCUCCUCCCUCUUGUCAAUGAAAUUGAUCUCCCCGUGCAGAAGCGGGGAUACUCUCAUAAGACGAGAAGACCCUAUGGAGCUUUAGAUACUAAGGUAGACCAUAUUCCAUAACCCCUUGUUAAAGGAGUAAAUCUAUGCUAAUCCUACCCCUAUAUCUUCGGUUGGGGCGACAAUGGGGAAAUAAAAAUCCCCCAUGCGGAACGGGAAAAUUCCCCAAAUUAAGAGUGACAACUCUAAAUUACAGUAUUUCUGACCAUAAAUGAUCCGGCAUUUGCCGAUUAACGGACCAAGUUACCCUAGGGAUAACAGCGCAAUCCCCUUUUAGAGCCCACAUCAACAAGGGGGUUUACGACCUCGAUGUUGGAUC
rnacentral:rRNA from 1 species